rnacentral:rRNA from 1 species
GACGAACGCUGGCGGCGUGCCUAACACAUGCAAGUCGAGCGGAAGGACCUGAGGAGUAAUCUGAGGGUGUUUCAGCGGCGGACGGGUGAGUAACGCGUGAGCAACCUGCCUUUCACAGGGGGAUAAGGCGGCGAAAGCCGCUCUAAUACCGCAUGAGACCACGGUACUGAUGGUACAGGGGUCAAAGGAGUAAUCCGGUGAGAGAUGGGCUCGCGUCCGAUUAGGUAGUUGGUGAGGUAAAGGCCCACCAAGCCAAUGAUCGGUAGCCGGCCUGAGAGGGUGAACGGCCACAUUGGAACUGAGAGACGGUCCAAACUCCUACGGGAGGCAGCAGUGGGGAAUAUUGGGCAAUGGGGGAAACCCUGACCCAGCAACGCCGCGUGAGGGAAGAAGGUUUUCGGAUUGUAAACCUCUGUUCUUGGUGAAGAGAAGAAGACGGUAGCCAAGGAGGAAGCCCCGGCCAACUACGUGCCAGCCGCCGCAGUAAGAC